rnacentral:rRNA from 1 species
UGGGGAAUAUUGCACAAUGGGCGCAAGCCUGAUGCAGCCAUGCCGCGUGUAUGAAGAAGGCCUUCGGGUUGUAAAGUACUUUCAGCGGGGAGGAAGGCGAUAAGGUUAAUAACCUUGUCGAUUGACGUUACCCGCAGAAGAAGCACCGGCUAACUCCGUGCCAGCAGCCGCGGUAAUACGGAGGGUGCAAGCGUUAAUCGGAAUUACUGGGCGUAAAGCGCGCGCAGGCGGGCUGUCAAGUCAGAUGUGAAAUCCCCGGGCUCAACCUGGGAACUGCAUUCGAAACUGGCAGGCUAGAGUCUUGUAGAGGGGGGUAGAAUUCCAGGUGUAGCGGUGAAAUGCGUAGAGAUCUGGAGGAAUACCGGUGGCGAAGGCGGCCCCCUGGACAAAGACUGACGCUCAGGUGCGAAAGCGUGGGGAGCAAACA